GCACAAGCGGUGGAUGAUGUGGAUUAAUUCGAUGCAACGCGAAAAACCUUACCUACCCUUGACAUGUCCGGAAUCCCGAAGAGAUUUGGGAGUGCUCGCAAGAGAACCGGAACACAGGUGCUGCAUGGCUGUCGUCAGCUCGUGUCGUGAGAUGUUGGGUUAAGUCCCGCAACGAGCGCAACCCUUGUCAUUAGUUGCCAUCAUUUGGUUGGGCACUCUAAUGAGACUGCCGGUGACAAACCGGAGGAAGGUGGGGAUGACGUCAAGUCCUCAUGGCCCUUAUGGGUAGGGCUUCACACGUCAUACAAUGGUCGGUACAGAGGGUUGCCAACCCGCGAGGGGGAGCCAAUCCCAUAAAGCCAGUCGUAGUCCGGAUCGUAGUCUGCAACUCGACUACGUGAAGUCGGAAUCGCUAGUAAUCGUGGAUCAGAAUGUCACGGUGAAUACGUUCCCGGGUCUU
rnacentral:rRNA from 1 species